GGAAAUCAGAGCAUUCGUAGUUCGGGGAACUACGGUUUGUUGGUGUCUUUUAAUGAACGACUGUUUAGAUCACGUUCUAAAGGCUAAACAUUGGCUUGUCUACUCUCGGCGGAGGCUUAAGCACUAGUUUGUUAUGCACGUUAGAAAGGAUUGAACAGUGUUCUUUCUGAAAAAGCUUUAAAUUGCACGGGGCGAGAAAAGAAGUUUGAUAGGUGGAAUGUGUUUUAAUGAACAAGUGCUCAGAUUGCAUCCUAGCGGUUAAACGUUGGCUUGCAUGCUCGAGGUGGGAACUUAAGCUCUAGUUUGUGUACGCACUAGAAAGGAUUAAGCAAUGUUCUUUUCGAAAAAGAAUUAAGUCGUCGAUCGUACGGGGGCGUGAAAUUUAGUUUAAUGUAUUUGGUAUUUUGAAGGAACGACAAAAAAUUGAGCAAUAUGGUGCACACCAAUCAUUCAAUCUUUUGAGGAAUAAUAAG
rnacentral:lncRNA from 1 species